rnacentral:rRNA from 1 species
UACGGGGGGGGCAAGCGUUGUUCGGAAUUACUGGGCGUAAAGGGCUCGUAGGCGGCCAACUAAGUCAGACGUGAAAUCCCUCAGCUUAACUGGGGAACUGCGUUUGAUACGGAUGGGCUAGAGUUCGGGAGAGGAGAGUGGAAUUCCCAGUGUAGAGGUGAAAUUCGUAGAUAUUGGGAAGAACACCGGUGGCGAAGGCGGCUCUCUGGACCGAGACUGACGCUGAGGCGCGAAAGCGUGGGGAGCAAACAGG